AGGCAUCGCUGGGUAGCUAUGUGUGGACGGGAUAAGUGCUGAAAGCAUCUAAGCAUGAAGCCCCCCUCAAGAUGAGAUUUCCCAUAGCGCAAGCUAGUAAGAUCCCUGAAAGAUGAUCAGGUUGAUAGGUCAGAGGUGGAAGCGUGGCGACAUGUGUAGCUGACUGAUACUAAUCGAUCGAGGACUUAACCAAAC
rnacentral:rRNA from 1 species